AAGUCGUAGCAAGGUUUCCGUAGGUGAACCUGCGGAAGGAUCAUUAUUGAACAAUCAAACCAAUGUGGAUUAGGUUGUAGCUGGUCUCUCGGGGCAUGUGCACGCUUUUCUGCAAUUGUUCUCCAUCCACCUGUGCAACAUUUUGUAGAUUUGCGAGGGAUAGAAAGAAGGGUAACCUUCUGACGAAGACCCCGACGGCUCUAUGUUUUAUAAACACUAAUGAAAGUCUAAGAAUGUCUUGUUAUAUUCAAACAUAAAUAUAA
rnacentral:misc_RNA from 1 species